AUUUGUUGUCGCUCUUCCUAGAAACCUUUGUCGUUUCUAUGCUGGGUGGGCAGCUCAAACAAAGAAGCCACUUUUUAAACAACAACAGGAGGCACAGCAUCUGUAGCUUUAUCUCUUAGCUCCUUUCUGCAACCCUGAGAGAAAAAACAUGGUGCUGGAAGACUUUUAUCGGCAACUGCAAGAGCAGUGGGCAGCUUUUGCAAGUUUAUUCAUAGAUUCCCCUUUGUGCCGUCCCCCAAAUUAGCUCUUUAGAGAGACUACUAGCUCUGCGACUUGAAAUUUUCAUUAAUUCCUGUUUUGAUGAUCGGGUCAAGUCUCCCAACAUUGCCAGCAGGCAGAGUUCACAAGUGCAACUAUGUUAAAAAUUAUCUAUGCAGACCAAAGAGAGAAUAAUUAUGCAAAGCCAAUCCUUGCCGAGACUUAUCAGCUCUGUAGCCGGGGCUGCUGCGCCCUUUAUUGUGGCUGCUUAAGACACUGGAGGGCACGAAGAUCACACGGCGCCUGCUGCAAGCCUCGCUGCUCCACGCUGCUCCGUCUCCAGAUAGAAUAACAUUUCGUGCACCAGAGCAGUAAAUUAUGGGGUGUCCUGUGCAGCACAUUUGCGGGGAAAGUCUGUCUCCUGCACUGUGCUGCAUGCCAGUGAGAUGAAACCCAUACUCGUGUGCCUCAUCACUCAUCCUGGGAUGGGAAGCCAAGAAACCAAGAUUUUACCAAAGGUUUUAGCUCACCUGACCCAAAGGCUCUGACUCCUUUGAGAUCCCACAGCGGCCCUGCUGCAUCUUGAUCCCAAGUGGUGCACACAUGGCUCAGCACACCAACUGAGCAAUGCGAUGGGAGUGGAAAAUCUGGUCUUGCAUACUUCAAAAGCAGUUAUCUGAGCAAGAUUGACUGUCAAGGUGCCUACAUAAAAAGGAGGCGAGAUGAGACAAGAACCCAAGACGGCAAGGAGGCAGCGGAUGAAGCAUCAGAAGCCGCUUUGGCAAGUAGAAAUUUAGAACUCUACUAGCAAAGACUUCAAAAGCAACUGCCAAUUUUGGGUAACUAAUUGAGAGCUGAGCCUGACAUUCAAGACGGAGCACAUUACAGGACUUGCAGCAAAUGACUGCAUCGACUAUGGAAAACAAUUAAUUAGAGCCAACAUCAAAGGACUUGAAAAAAGGAGGGAUCCACCACUUUUGCAAGGAAUGCAAGCUAAAAGCACAAUCCUGUGGCUAGAUGGCCAUAGGAAGACUCAAAGUCCCAGCUCUGACCUUGGAAAAGCACUCAGAGGCCCUCCCGUCCCCUCCGCAGCAAGUGUGGUUCUGGCGGUUGGUCUUCCAACUUUGAAACUGUUCCUAGGAAGGACAGGGGUGAGGCUCCUCAGCUCCCCAAGCAGGACCUCAGCCUGUCCUCCUCACGAGCAUGCGGGAAGUCCUUGGAUGGCCAUCAAAGUGUUUCAUCAAAGCCCUUGGAUGGCCAUCAAAGGCAAGGGACCAUGGAGGCAAACUGCCCUGCAUGGAGGGCAGGAGGGCAUGCUCCUCCUGCCCUCCAUUGACUGCCUGAAAUCUUACGAGUUUGGAGGGUUGCUGGCAGGCACACUGGAUUGCAAAGCCCAAAAUCUGCUAAAUGUAAUCAACCCCAUGAUCACGCAGUGCAGUGGCCGGUCACUGCAUAUGAGGCUGAAAGGUCUUUUAAGUCAAACCCUCGCUGUCAGCUGGGGGACCAGGGACCACUUAUGCAGGUAUGCUUACAUAUGCGCGCGCGCACUUCCAUGCUUGUACACACAUAUUUAAUACAGUUUUGGGGUUGCUGCGGGAAGGAAGUUGUUCUGACACUGGCUGUUGACAGAGUAAUGGUGGAGUGCUGGACUGGAACUCAGGACAUCCAGUUCUAGUCCCCGCUCAGCCCUGCAGCCCACUGAGUGGCUUUCAACCAGUCGCUGCCUCUCAGCCUAACCUGAUAACAGGAUAAAAUUAAGAGGAAGAGACCCUUGUAAACCCCUCUGGGUUCCUUGCACAAGGAAAAAGGGCAAGGUAGAAAUGCUAUGUAGUAAGUACUCCUCACACUCAUGUCCCCCCAUUCCACUCACAAAGUGGCAUGAGCCGUAACACGAAGAGGUCAGAGGGGCUGGCUGGCUUAUCCACGUUCCAUAAGCCAACUGCACAGGGCGGCCAGGCUGAUGCCUCGGCUGCAGUGUUUGCAGAGCGUCUCCUGUUUCCGUUGUGAACGUCUCUCCUAAAAUGCAGUUCCUAUUCAGAAGAGCUUUAAAAAGCCUUCCUGCUGAAACACUGCAAAGAGAUCUGACCCACCUGGCCAACGGCCUCCCCCGCGCACACAUUAGUGCUGCACUACUAAAUUGCUCGCAGGUGUGGAUGCUCCUUGUUAGGCACGGCCACACAGGGGGAACUUUGGUUCCGGUUGCUGCUGUGAUGAUGACCUCCCUAUUCACAGUAGAGCUUGUGGUCCUCCCUGCCUUGUCCUGGACAGGAAGUGGGUAUAAAACAUUUGUCUCUGGGCUAGUGCUUUGCCCCAGCAGCAAGGGCUCCAGCCUAGCUGCAGUGUUUGCGGCCUAGUUUGUGAGCCCCUUGGUGCUGACUCCCUGCUCAUCAGCUGCCUCCAGAUUAUCUCUGCCAGUGUCAAAUGAAAUCGGCACCACUUCAGAGCAAGGACCUUGUGCAGCUGCCAGCCAUUUGCACCUAGGCCACUGUGCUUCUGGUUUCUCAACUGGGCCAGCAGAGAUUCCCAUAGGGGCUGGGGCUGUCCCCACGUGGUUUGCAAGCAUCAGGUAUUCUGCUUGCCCUCUGCAUAAAGCUUACUAAGAAAUAAGCAUUAUAGUAAAUGAGGAACCCUGAUUACUUGGAUGGCAGGGUUCUUAAAAAGGGCCUGGAAGAGCUUCUGCCAGGACAAGUGUCAAAGGCAGGCAGCUUUCCUCAUCACUGCUGUCUUGCUUGUCCACCUGCCUCUUGCUGGGCUCUGACAUGAUGGUGAAGGAACUGCUGAGGCCACGAUCUGCUCACUGGCUCUCUGCAUGUUAAGCAAGCAUGUGUGACAGGCCAUGAGGAGCUGGGGACCAUGGGGGGUGGGGGAGGCCAGUUCACUGACAGAAGGAACCCGCUGAAGCCACCACUGGGUUCUGCUGUUCUAUAACACCACCUUCUUCAACCUGGCAUCCUGUGCAUGCGUUGCACAACUCCCAUAAUCUUCAAGUAGCUUGUUAUGGAAAUGAAACUGAGAGACAUUUUGCUAUGUGGAAAAGAAGUUUUGCUUCCAAGGAGGAGAAAAGAGCCCUUCUAUCCAAACCAAGCAUGUUCCUAACCACAGAGAUGUAACAGGGAAUUGAGAAGGGUAUUACUGUAUCAGCAACAUAUGUCCUGGCUUGAAAAUGUAAGACUGUAUUCUACUUACUGCUCCACAGAUCAAACAAACCGAUGACAAGCAGCACUUGAUCUCCCAAGAAACAUUAGUAGUCCUGUAAACAUUCACAUGUAGCAAGUGCUAUGCUGUUAACAUAUUUAAUACCUUUCCAAAACAGGGCCUUUCUUUAGUGGGAACCAGAACUCAAGCGCUAUUUGGUGAGUGGGCGUUCCAUGCCGAGGCAUUCGUAUUUCAAAUCAAGGUUGCAUGGCUGGAACAGUUGAUGAAACCAUCUGGCCUGAGAAACGAGGGUGCAGGCAUGUGGAGCACCUGAACAAUCAUGAGGCAAACCAAGGGAGAAGCAACCAAGAGUCCUUUCAUUUUCACAACAACCUUUUGAGGUAAAUUAAGCCAAGAAAUAUGUCCGACCUAAGGUCAGCCAGCAACAUCCUGGCUGAGUGAGCAUUUGAACUUGAGUCUUUCCAGUCACAGAGGUUUUGGGAGAGUGCUCUUUCCCAGGUUGCUUCUAACCGUGAGAGCUGCUCCUGGCCCACCUCAUGUCAUGGUUCCAGUGUUGCUACGAGCAACAGGCAGCCUAAUCCAAGAGCUUUCACAGCCAUUGCCAGAUGGCCUCGUGAGUGCCCACUGCUGCUCUGGCUGGCUUUUUUAGCGUCCCCCCACCCUGCUGCUUUGGCUGGAGCUGGGCAAUUCCCUACAAGCUGGAUCCGGCCUGAUACUGCCAUGCUCCCCGGUUCAGGUUCCAAUGGAAACCUCAGGCUCAGGCCAUGCUCUAUCGGUACCCCUUUUCCUUCCUAAGUAAUUUGGCCUCUGCUGCCACUAACCAGACCCCCUUUGAGAGAACAAAAUAGCUGAUGAUCUGCCAUGAACCAGCCUUGAGACUACAAAGCACCUAGCUGCUAAACACCCCCUUUAAGGCUUGUGCUAAUGGAUAGUUCCCAUACAUAUAGUUUGGUUAUGAUUAAUAGUUUUAAUAAACUGCAGACAAAAUUAUUGCUAAUCCUCUACAACCACUUUCCUCAAAGAAUUUGCUAAUAUAUACAAUCUAAUGGGAAACCAGAAUAUGUUAAUAUGCACAGAGGGAGGAGGAGGAGGAGGAGUCAUCCAUAUAUAUCCAGCUAGGAGUAGAAGGAGAUUAAGGGCACAGUCCUAUCACCCCUGCUGAAGACUUGAAGGUUUAUGAGCUUCCCAUGCCAGCUGCAAGGCACGGCAGCUGCAAUCUUUGCUGCCUCUCUGUCUCAUGUCCUGCAUUUUCUCCAGGCAGCCUUUUCAGCUAUCUAGAUUUAGGAUCAAAUGGUCUGGAGCUCCAGUUCAAAAUGGCCACGUUCCACAGCCCCGGCCCUCUAACCCCUCCCUGCUCCCUGGCAAGCCCCUUUCCCCUGCUUGGAGCCCUCUUGCCUCCUGUGAGGAAUAGUCAGCACAAUUCUUUCCAUGCUGGUUGAGGGGAAGGGAUAUUGGGCAGGGGCCAGUUUUGGAAUCAGAGGACCUCAGUGCUCACACAAUGUGAGGAGACUGCAGAUUUGUGCACUAAGAGGACUUCUAUAACUGUUCAGUUGUGUGGGGGAGAAUUGAGCUUUUCGGCACCGAGAAAUACUGUAUCAUUGUCAUUUUCAAGGAAAUAGCUGUUGCAUUUUUUUUUUUUUUUUGCAAAAUCUUUCAGUGCAAAAAUACAUGUUGCUGGAUUAUGAUUACAAUGCAAGGCAAGGCAAUGGAUAUCAGAGGGCUCUUGCAAUGUUUCCACCCUUGCUUGGUUUCAAGAACACUGGGAGGAGAGCACAAGAGGGAGAACCGGAACAAUAGCAUGCACAUACCAAACUCUCCUGAUGGAGUGCGGGCAGACAGUGCAUUCUUUUGCAGAACAGAAAGUGGCCUUCAAAACCCUAUGGAACGAAACAUUCUAUCAAGUAUCUGGCUUGCCAUCUAUCUUGGCAUACAAGAGGCUAGAGACAAGCAGUGGGCUGCAAAAAAAGAUGGAUUGUUUCAAUUACAGCUGCUCGGUUUCUUGUUGGCUGAUGCUUUUCAGGAGGCACAUGGGUACAUCUCAGACAUGGAAGACUACAUCUCCUAUCAUAACGGGCUGUCUAACACAAGGAAGGCCUUCACCAAAGCCAGGCCAUGAAAGCUCCAGCCAAGCCGAAAGGAACACGCCUGCAGAAGUUAUACAGCCUCUCGUGUGAAAGAGCUGCUCAGAUACUUGAUUUGUCACAAGGUCUUACUGCAAAGUUCUGUUUCAUCUGGAGUCUAGAGGUGAACAUGGAAAACCACAAAUAGAUAGCUCAGCGCCCCCCCCCCAUUUGCCAUGAUACCACUGAUGCUGUACCCAUCCUACUGGCUGCAAGCAUACUUGGGAAGGACAGCCUUCCCAAUCUGGCAGCCGCUGGAUGUGUCGGACAACCACUCCCACAUAUAUGGUAGCCAAAUUCCCACCAUACCCGGCCAGUGUGGACAUUGUCUGCAUUGUUUGGACCAAUAGGAGUUGUAGUCCAACACAUCUGGAAAGUGCCAGGCUAGGGAGAGUGCAGGGAUCCAAAAUGAGCUUGCCCAUUGCCUACUCCACCACUGGGAAGUUAUGACACCUGUUAGGAAAAAGAAUACACAGCCAAAUAAAAGAGAAUCCCUGAAUGGAAUCUAAGCAAUUGAUGUGUCUCAAAGCAGGAAGUGUUCAGACUCAAAUGCAAAGUCCAUCAGAAUUUUCCUAGGCUGAAGCAAGUGAUAGCUAACAGUACCUUUUGAAGUAGAGCUAAAAGUCACCUCCAAAACUUCCACCAUGCUCUAGUAACCCAAGGGGAAGCAGAAGAAAGGGGUGCAAUUCUGCAGGUAGGAACGAGCUUGCUCUUGACUGGGUAGAGUCAGCAGGGGCAGGAAGCAAAAUUUUCCCUGGACACCAAAAUAGACUUCUUUGAUUUAUAUCCAGCCCUUCCUCACAAAGAGCUCAGGGGCUGCUGACAGCCUUGGUAUAACAUACAUCAUAUAGAUGACACCAUCAUAAUGCCAAAGUCACAAAAAUGUGAUGAAACACAGUGAAAGUGCCCUUCUGACACACCGUUUGCCAUAAUUCCAGAAGUUUACUAGUAUUUAAAAACAACAGUGCUGCUGAGGAGGAGAGGAAGGAACAUUCUGCUAAAGGAUAAAUAGCAGAAUCUGAGUAGCAUGAGGUAUUUUUUCCCCACAGCACAUAGUUAACGAUGGAAUUCAGUUCCACGAGAUGCAUCAGCACCAAGGCAGCGAGAAGAACUGACCUUUUGUUCUGGCGUGCUGCCGUCCUGUGAUAAUUCCUGCUGUGAUCGUUCGUUCACUUGCAACAUGAAACAACUGGGGGGAAGGGGGGCAGGCUGAAAACCUCCUGGGUCUUAUUGUGCAGGGAACAUUUAUAGUGUAAAUGUGUAUUUAUAGUAUACAGUGCCAGUGUGGGAUGGUUGUCAGGGUGUUGCACUGGGACCCUGGAGAUGCGGAUUCUAAUCCCUGCUCUGCCAUGAACGUUCUGGGUGACUUCAGGUCAGUCACUCAUUCUCAGCCCAGCCUGUCUCGCAGGGUUAUGAUAAAACGGAACCAUGGAAGUCACCUUUAGUUCCUUACAAAAGGAGGAAAAAUAGGAAAUGAAUGCAAUGGAAUACAAACAAUAAUUUAUGAAUUCCUGUGAAGGCCCCAAUUCCCCCUAAUUCAAGCAACAUCUAAUUCUUUCUGAUAAUGGCACCAGCAGUCUUCUGAUUCUGGAAGCCCUCUUCCCUAAUGCAUAAUUUAGGAAGACUAAGUUGAUUUCUGUUGAGUUAGAUCCUACAGUGUAUAUAUACUGUGCUAUGGUUGCCCAGGGGUAGUCUAAAUUUUACUGCUUCAUAGUUAGCAAAUUGCCAUUUUUUCCUUUUGUUUUUGGCAUGGCUACUGCCUAAUUUGGCAGCCAGACAAUGGCAGGAUUGUUACCUGCAGCAGCAACUAAGAGGGUGUGUCAAAGUAACUCCCAGACCCUCUGAAGUUGCCCACCCAUGAGCUAGUGGAAUCCUGUUGCACUAGCAAGCACUACUGACAUUGCACAAGUGAUCAUUACCGCUAGUGUAACAUCAAUCACAAGAGUGCAGCGAUUCUUUUGGACGCUUCUGUAUUUUGAAUCCAAAAUAGGGGUGCAUUUUUUUCAAAUAUUCCACUGAUAAUUGAGACUAGAGAAAAGCUGUCACUCCUAAGUGCCAGUACUGAAAUGUUCAAGAAUUUUAAGGCAUGUGGGUGACCACGCAUCAGGCAUUUUUCCAGCCCUCUUGCCAAGCCAUGUGUGACUCUGGUUCCAGCCUCAACUUGCUAUUUUAACCUGCUUUGGUUUGUAUAGCUGUUUUACCUACCUUUUAAUUUAACAGUUGUGAUUUCCCCCCCUCAGUUUUGUAAGCUGCCCUGAAAAUGGACUCAUUGAAACACAGAGUAUAAAUAAGUUGAAUAAAUAAAUGGUUCCUGUUUUUUAGAGAUGCUACAAAAAUAUUCAUAACAACAACAUAACAGCAUCUUAGUAUCAGCUGCAUGAAAAUCUGCAAGAUAACAGAUAUGUUUAAUGCACGUGAAAAGUUCUACCUUGAGAUGAUGCAGUAAAAUGCAGGUUCUGUUCUCAACAAGGUCAUCUUAGCCCAGUUUGCCCAGUUUGGUACCUUCCAGAUGUGCUGGCUACAACUCUGGUCAAGGGAGCUGUAUUCCAACACAUCUGGGAGGAGACCUGGUUGGUGAAUGCUACCAGAAACCCACUGGUAUAGAAAAAUGCUCUUUCAUAUUUGUUUCUAUCCCACUUAAUAUCUCGGAGGAAGAUGAUAUGAAUGGGUAAAAUCUUUGCUAAAGGAAAAUUAUUGGAGGUGUUGUGAGAAACAAGUGGAGCAAAUUGCUUAGCUGCACAUUUCUGCUUCACUUCUGCAAGCAGGGGACCUGAACCUAGUCCUGAAUGGGAUUGC